GCAUGCAGGUGGUUCAUUAAGUCAGAUGUGAAAGCCCGGGGCACUGCUCGGAACUGCAUUUGAAACUGGUGAACUAGAGUACUGUAGAGGGGGGUAGAAUUUCAGGUGUAGCGGUGAAAUGCGUAGAGAUCUGAAGGAAUACCAGUGGCGAAGGCGGCCCCCUGGACAGAUACUGACACUCAGAUGCGAAAGCGUGGGGAGCAAACAGGAUUAGAUACCCUGGUAGUCCACGCCGUAAACGAUGUCUACUUGGAGGUUGUGGCCUUGAGCCGUGGCUUUCGGAGCUAACGCGUUAAGUAGACCGCCUGGGGAGUACGGUCGCAAGAUUAAAACUCAAAUGAAUUGACGGGGGCCCGCACAAGCGGUGGAGCAUGUGGUUUAAUUCGAUGCAACGCGAAGAACCUUACCUACUCUUGACAUCCAGAGAAGCCAGCGGAGACGCAGGUGUGCCUUCGGGAGCUCUGAGACAGGUGCUGCAUGGCUGUCGUCAGCUCGUGUUGUGAAAUGUUGGGUUAAGUCCCGCAACGAGCGCAACCCUUAUCCUUGUUUG
rnacentral:rRNA from 1 species